AUUGAACGCUGGCGGCAGGCCUAACACAUGCAAGUCGAACGAGUGGCGGACGGGCGAGUAAUGUCUUGGAAACUCCCUGAUGGAGGGGGCUAACUACUGGAAACGGUAUCUAAUACCGCAUACCAUCGGAUGUGCCCAGAUGGGAUUAGCUAGUAGGUGGGGUAAGGGCUCACUUAGGCGACGAUCCCUACCUGGUCUGAGAGGAUGACAAUCCACACUUGAACUGAGACACGGUCCAGACUCCUGCGGGAGGCAUCAGUUGGGAAAAGUGCACGAUGGGCGCAAGCCUGAUGCAGCAAUGCAGCGUGGAUGGAGAAGGCUUUCGGGUUGUAAAGUACUUUCAGCGGGGAGGCGUUGCCCGCAGAAGAAGCACCGGAUAACUCCGUGCCAGCAGCCGCGGUAAUAC
rnacentral:rRNA from 1 species